rnacentral:rRNA from 1 species
UACGUAGGGUGCGAGCGUUAAUCGGAAUUACUGGGCGUAAAGCGUGCGCAGGCGGUUCGUUGUGUCGGCGGUGAAAGCCCCGGGCUUAACCUGGGAAUGGCCGUUGAAACUGGCGAACUGGAGUGUGGAGAGGGGGGUGGAAUUCCGCGUGUAGCAGUGAAAUGCGUAGAGAUGCGGAGGAACACCAAUGGCGAAGGCAGCUCGCUGGGACGGUACUGACGCUGAGGCGCGAAAGCGUGGGGAGCAAACAGG